UAGGGAAUCUUCCACAAUGGACGCAAGUCUGAUGGAGCAACGCCGCGUGAGUGAAGAAGGUCUUCGGAUCGUAAAGCUCUGUUGUUGGUGAAGAAGGAUAGAGGCAGUAACUGGUCUUUAUUUGACGGUAAUCAACCAGAAAGUCACGGCUAACUGACGUGCCAGCAGCCGCGGUAAUACGUAGGUGGCAAGCGUUGUCCGGAUUUAUUGGGCGUAAAGCGAGCGCAGGCGGAAUGAUAAGUCUGAUGUGAAAGCCCACGGCUCAACCGUGGAACUGCAUCGGAAACUGUCAUUCUUGAGUGCAGAAGAGGAGAGUGGAACUCCAUGUGUAGCGGUGGAAUGCGUAGAUAUAUGGAAGAACACCAGUGGCGAAGGCGGCUCUCUGGUCUGCAACUGACGCUGAGGCUCGAAAGCAUGGGUAGCGAACAGGAUUAGAUACCCUGGUAGUCCAUGCCGUAAACGAUGAGCGCUAGGUGUUGGGGACUUUCCGGUGCCUCAGUGCCGCAGCAAACGCAUUAAGCGCUCCGCCUGGGG
rnacentral:rRNA from 1 species